rnacentral:rRNA from 1 species
UACGGGAGGCAGCAGUGGGGAAUAUUGCACAAUGGGCGGAAGCCUGAUGCAGCGACGCCGCGUGGGGGAUGAAGGCCUUCGGGUUGUAAACUCCUUUCGACAGGGACGAAGCUUUUGUGACGGUACCUGUAUAAGAAGCACCGGCUAACUACGUGCCAGCAGCCGCGGUAAUACGUAGGGUGCGAGCGUUGUCCGGAAUUACUGGGCGUAAAGAGCUCGUAGGUGGUUUGUCGCGUCGCCUGUGAAAUUCCGGGGCUUAACUCCGGGCGUGCAGGCGAUACGGGCUGACUUGAGUGCUGUAGGGGAGACUGGAAUUCCUGGUGUAGCGGUGAAAUGCGCAGAUAUCAGGAGGAACACCGAUGGCGAAGGCAGGUCUCUGGGCAGUAACUGACGCUGAGGAGCGAAAGCAUGGGUAGCGAACAGGAUUAGAUACCCUGGUAGUCCAUGCCGUAAACGGUGGGCGCUAGGUGUAGGGGGCUUCCACGUCUUCUGUGCCGUAGCUAACGCAUUAAGCGCCCCGCCUGGGGAGUACGGCCGCAAGGCUAAAACUCAAAGGAAUUGACGGA